AAACCAUGUUGUGUGCAAGAAUUGACAAGAUCCUUGAACCGCUCCCAACGUUGAAAGAAUGUUUUCAUCCUUCUUUUGAGUGAAGUUCAUGAUUGACUUCCUAAGGGU